rnacentral:rRNA from 1 species
GACGAACGCUGGCGGCGUGCCUAAUACAUGCAAGUCGAGCGGACAGAAGGGAGCUUGCUCCCGGAAGUUAGCGGCGGACGGGUGAGUAACAUGUGGGCAACCUACCCUGUAGAUCGGGAUAACAUCGAGAAAUCGGUGCUAAUACCGGAUAAUCAUUUGAAGUGCAUACUUCGAAUGUAAAAGAUGGCUCCGGCUAUCACUACGGGAUGGGCCCGCGGCGCAUUAGCUAGUUGGUAAGGUAAUGGCUUACCAAGGCAACGAUGCGUAGCCGACCUGAGAGGGUGACCGGCCACACUGGGACUGAGCAACGGCCCAGACUCCUACGGGAGGCAGCAGUAGGGAAUCUUCCGCAAUGGACGAAAGUCUGACGGAGCAACGCCGCGUGAGUGAUGAAGGUUUUCGGAUCGUAAAGCUCUGUUGUUAGGGAAGAACAAGUGCCGUUUGAAUAAGGCGGCACCUUGACGGUACCUAACCAGAAAGCCACGGCUAUCUACGUGCCAGCCGCCGCCGUAACAC